rnacentral:rRNA from 1 species
GACGAACGCUGGCGGCGUGCUUAACACAUGCAAGUCGAACGGAAAGGCCCUGCUUUUGUGGGGUGCUCGAGUGGCGAACGGGUGAGUAACACGUGAGUAACCUGCCCUUGACUUUGGGAUAACUUCAGGAAACUGGGGCUAAUACCGGCUAGGAGCUCCUGCUGCAUGGUGGGGGUUGGAAAGUUUCGGCGGUUGGGGAUGGACUCGCGGCGUAUCAGCUUGUUGGUGGGGUAGCGGCUUAGCAAGGCCAGGACGCGUAGCCGGCCUGAGAGGGUGACAGGCCAAGUUACGACGGAGAUGCGACACGGACUAGAACGGGACGCAGCGGUGGGGUAGGGUACACUGUAGGCGGGAGGCUAGUGCGGCAACGCCGCGUGGGGGAUGUGAGGCAGCGGGUAGUAAUGCGCUGUCGCUUGUGACGAGACGUGAAUGACGGUAACGGGUGAAGAAGCACCGGCUAACUACGUG